CUUCGAGGGGACAUCAGUUGGGAAAGGAAGGGAUGGGUCCUAUGGCGUCAUGUGAUGGAUAAGAGCGGGAGGAACAGCUCAGAAGCUCAUCGGAGCUUCAUCUCUAGAGUAAUCAGCCCAACCCUAGACCAGGAGAAGGCGCCAUCUGCAUCUUUAUGAGCUCAAGGUGAAGGCGUGGUUGGAGCUCGAGCACCAAAGCCUUACGGAUCGGAAUCAAAUGGUUUCGUGCAUUAUGGAAAGAGAGGAUACUGGGGACGAAGACCUAGAGCCGUUUGAUCUGUAAUCAGUGGUUUGGGGUUGGUUCAACUAGGUUACUUGGUGGAUCAUCGCUACAAAACUGGCUUUUAAACAAUCAUAUUGCAUUCAAUAAUUAAGUUUAUGCUGUAGUUUUAUUUUUACUUCAGUUUGAUCUGAGUAGUUGUGCUAAUAUAGUUGUUGCUCCCACAAUUUUUUUGUUACUCACUAUUUUUCCUUCUUUGUUAAGCCAUAACAUGGCUUUAUUAAUAUAAUAAAAUAUUAUUUACUUUUCA